GGGCGGCGGGGCCUAUACAUGCAAGUCGAGCGGACAGAUGGGAGCUUGCUCCCUGAUGUUAGCGGCGGACGGGUGACUACUCGUGGGUAACCUGCCUGUAAGACUGGGAUAACUCCGGGAAACCGGGGCUAAUACCGGAUGGUUGUCUGAACCGCAUGGUUCAGACAUAAAAGGUGGCUUCGGCUACCACUUACAGAUGGACCCGCGGCGCAUUAGCUAGUUGGUGAGGUAACGGCUCACCAAGGCGACGAUGCGUAGCCGACCUGAGAGGGUGAUCGGCCACACUGGGACUGAGACACGGCCCAGACUCCUACGGGAGGCAGCAGUAGGGAAUCUUCCGCAAUGGACGAAAGUCUGACGGAGCAACGCCGCGUGAGUGAUGAAGGUUUUCGGAUCGUAAAGCUCUGUUGUUAGGGAAGAACAAGUGCCGUUCAAAUAGGGCGGAAAAUUGACGGUACCUAAUUUAUUUUUUCGGCUAACUACGUGCCAGCAGCCGCGGUAAUACGUAGGUGGCAAGCGUUGUCCGGAAUUAUUGGGCGUAAAGGGCUCGCAGGCGGUUUCUUAAGUCUGAUGUGAAAGCCCCCGGCUCAACCGGGGAGGGUCAUUGGAAACUGGGGAACUUGAGUGCAGAAGAGGAGAGUGGAAUUCCACGUGUAGCGGUGAAAUGCGUAGAGAUGUGGAGGAACACCAGUGGCGAAGGCGACUCUCUGGUCUGUAACUGACGCUGAGGAGCGAAAGCGUGGGGAGCGAACAGGAUUAGAUACCCUGGUAGUCCACGCCGUAAACGAUGAGUGCUAAGUGUUAGGGGGGUUUUCCGCCCCCUUAGG
rnacentral:rRNA from 1 species